UGAAUUCAGACUCAAGAUGGUAACAUCAACUAUUACCUGACUUUUUGCCCUGCCAGCCUCUAAUUUCACCCUGUGGAGGCAGGAAAGAAGGGCCCUGGGUAGACGCAUUGCUACAACUACGAGAAAAAUCUUACUGGAGAAAACCAUGCCAAGCCUGAGAAUGUUGCAUACCCGAGGCCAAGCUCAACAAGGCCAGGGAACUCUCUGGUUGGGGAUCCUGUGGAGAGUCUGACUCUGGAACCGGUGCUACAGACAGACAUUGUUAAAGCUGGUAAGGACAGAUUUUGACUCUGAAGAUUCUGAGUAUACUCCAGAAGCAGACUUAGAGUC